GAUGAACGCUAGCUACAGGCUUAACACAUGCAAGUCGAGGGGAAACGACAUCGAAAGCUUGCUUUUGAUGGGCGUCGACCGGCGCACGGGUGAGUAACGCGUAUCCAACCUGCCCACCACUUGGGGAUAACCUUGCGAAAGUAAGACUAAUACCCGAUGAUAUCUCUAGACGACAUCUGAAAGGGAUUAAAGAUUUAUCGGUGAUGGAUGGGGAUGCGUCUGAUUAGCUUGUUGGCGGGGUAACGGCCCACCAAGGCAACGAUCAGUAGGGGUUCUGAGAGGAAGGUCCCCCCANAUUGGAACUGAGACACGGUCCAAAACUCCUACGGGGAGGCAGCAGUGAGGAAUAUUGGUCAAUGGGCGAGAGCCUGAACCAGCCAAGUAGCGUGCAGGAUGACGGCCCUAAUGGGUUGUAAACUGCUUUUAUAAGGGAAUAAAGUGAGCCUCGUGAGACUUUUUGCAUGUACCUUAUGAAUAAGGACCGGCUAAUUCCGUG
rnacentral:rRNA from 1 species